AUGGUUCAAUGUGUUUACAACAAUAGAACAGAAGAUCUAGUCCAGUGGAAGGCGCUCAGCCACCGAAAACAGAAGUUCCACCUCAGACAGUGUAAAGCAGAUGGUGCGACAGGGCGGCCCAUUUCAGCUAGAGGAAAGGCUCAGUUGCACAAAAAUGUGGAGGAGAGUCGAACCUGCUUGACCUUUUUUUUUUUUUAUAACCUCAGCCUAAAUGCUGAUCUAUUAGGUUUAAAUCUGAUGUAUUUUUAGGUCUUUAUAGCACAUGUGCUGCAUUAUAUCACUUUUGUGUUCAACAACACCAUUCAGGAUGCAUCUCACCUGACCCAGUUAUUUUACUCAUGCAUGAAUAAUUUGCUUUAAAUGUUGUUGUUAUAUAAAGGUCACUUAUGGAAAUAUUUAUGGAAGCAAUCAUGAAUAAUGAAUUGAAAACUUGCACACUGAAUUAAUUACACUGAAGAACUCUCGUUUCAUCUAAUAGAUUUAAUUCAUGUAGACACAUGAUGACGUUGAUAUUUUCACUCAUUUACAUUUUAAUGAAGAGAACAUUGUUAAAAUAAAUUAAGAGUAAAUCGCUCUCCA
ensembl:lncRNA